rnacentral:tRNA from 1 species
GGGAGCAUAGUUCAGCUUGGUCAAGAACGCUGGCCUGUCACGUCAGUAACACGGGUUCAAAUCCCGUUGCUCCCGCCA